GAUGAACGCUGGCGGCGUGCCUAAUACAUGCAAGUCGAGCGAACGGACGAGAAGCUUGCUUUUCUGAUGUUAGCGGCGGACGGGUGAGUAACACGUGGAUAACCUACCUAUAAGACUGGGAUAACUUCGGGAAACCGGAGCUAAUACCGGAUAAUAUUUUGAACCGCAUGGUUCAAAAGUGAAAGACGGUCUUGCUGUCACUUAUAGAUGGAUCCGCGCUGCAUUAGCUAGUUGGUAAGGUAACGGCUUACCAAGGCAACGAUGCAUAGCCGACCUGAGAGGGUGAUCGGCCACACUGGAACUGAGACACGGUCCAGACUCCUACGGGAGGCAGCAGUAGGGAAUCUUCCGCAAAGGGCGAAAGCCUGACGGAGCAACGCCUCGUGAGUGAUGAAGGUCUUCGGAUCGUAAAACUCUGUUAUUAGGGAAGAACAUAUGUGUAAGUAACUGUGCACAUCUUGACGGUACCUAAUCAGAAAGCCACGGCUAACUACGUG
rnacentral:rRNA from 1 species